rnacentral:rRNA from 1 species
UACGUAGGGGGCAAGCGUUGUUCGGAUUCAUUGGGCGUAAAGGGCGCGUAGGCGGCGGGGUAAGUCGGGUGUGAAAUCUCAGAGCUCAACUCUGAAAUGGCACUUGAUACUGCUCUGCUAGAGGACUGGAGAGGAGAUUGGAAUUCACGGUGUAGCAGUGAAAUGCGUAGAUAUCGUGAGGAAGACCGGUGGCGAAGGCGGAUCUCUGGACAGUUCCUGACGCUGAGGCGCGAAGGCCAGGGGAGCAAACGGG